ACGAACGCUGGCGGCGUGGAUAAGACAUGCAAGUCAAACGACUGUUCAUCUGCAGCAAUGUAGGUGGACGGGAAGUGGCGCAAGGGUGGCGUAACACGUGGGUAAUCUGCCGCGAAGACGGGGAUAACUCGCUGAAAGGCGAGCUAAUACCGGAUGAGACAACUGUGAGGCAUCUUGUGGUUGUGAAAGCUGGGGACCUGCAAAGGCCUGGCACUUCGCGAUGAGCCCGCGGCCUAUCAGCUAGUUGGUGAGGUAACGGCUCACCAAGGCUAAGACGGGUAGCUGGUCUGAGAGGACGACCAGCCACACUGGAAACUGAGAGACGGUCCAGACACCUACGGGUGGCAGCAGUCGAGAAUUUUUCUCAAUGGGCGAAAGCCUGAAGGAGCGACCGCCGCGUGGGGGGAUGAAGGGCUUCGGCCUGUAAACCCCUGUCAUUUGCGAACAAACCCUUACUAUGAACAGCGGUGAGGUUGAUAGUAGCAAAAGAGGAAGGGGACGGCUAACUCUGUGCCAGCAGCCGCGGUAAUACAGAGGUCCCGAGCGUUGUUCGGAUUUCACUGGGCGUAAAGGGUGCGUAGGCGGUGGGGAAAGUUUGAUGUGAAAAUCUCCAGGCUUAACCUGGAAAAGGCAUCAUUGAAUACUACUCCUGCUGGAGGCUUGGAGGGGGGACUGGAAUACUUGGUGUAGCAGUGAAAAUGCGUAGAUAUCAAGUGGAACACCAGUGGCGAAGGCGAGUCCCUGGACAAGACCUGACGCUGAGGCACGAAAGCCAGGGGAGCAAAACAGGGAUUAGAUACCCUGGUAGUCCUGGCUGUAAACGGUGCACGUUUGCUGUGAGAGGAAUCGACCCCUUUUGUGGCGAAGCUAACGCGAUAUAAACGUGCCUCCUGGGAAGUACGGUCGCAAGAUUAAAACUCAAAAAGAAAUUGACGGGGGCCUGCACAAGCGGUGGAGUAUGUGGCUUAAUUCGAUGCAACGCGAAGAACCUUACCUGGCCUUGACAUGUAGGUGGUAGGAGCCUGAAAGGGUAACGACCCCGCAAGGGGAGCUUACACAGGUGCUGCAUGGCUGUCGUCAGCUCGUGUCGUGAGAUGUUGGGUUAAGUCCCGCAACGAGGCGCAACCCCUGCGUCCUGUUGCCACCCUAUCGAGAGAUGGGAGCACUCUGGACGGACUGCCUCGCUUUCAACGAGGAGGAAGGUGGGGGAUGACGUCAAGUCAGGAUGGCCCUUACGGCCAGGGCUGCACACGUACUACAAUGCCCGGUACAAAGGGAAGCAAAAGCCGUCAGGCGGAGCAAAUCUCAAGAAAACCGGGGCCCAGUUCAGAUUGAGGUCUGCAACUCGACCUCAUGAAGCCGGAAUCGCUAGUAAUGGCGCAUCAGCUACGGCGCCGUGAAUACGUUCCCAGGCCUUGUACACACCGCCCGUCACAUCAUGAAAGCCGUUUGUACCCGAAGUCGUCGUGCUAACCGCAAGGGAGCAGAUGCCGAAGGUAUGGAUGGUGAUUGGGAUG
rnacentral:rRNA from 1 species